rnacentral:lncRNA from 1 species
GUUGUUGGUUUGGUUGAUUUUUUAAGUUUGUUUUUGCAUAAUUUUCCUUCCACAGCUACUGCCUUAUCUGUGGGAGAAGGAAACACACAGACGGGGAUGCCGUUCACAGGACUACGGGUUUCCUGUCUGCGCAGAGAGGAGGUGGGGCAGAGAGAACCCAAAAUAAUCCACUGUCACAGGGACGGCUUUUCUCAUUUUAUUCAUGAACGAUGUGACUUUAAACCGUACAGGUCGAAAUGACCAAAGAGUGGUUUUGAAGAGAUUGUUCUGUUCAGGUUCAAGAUACACAGGAGUAACAAUCUGUACUGAUGCCACUACUGGUUUAAAGAAAAACGAAAACAAAAACAAAAACAAAACUCAGUUACCGUCAUCUGAAUCGGUAAAAUUGAACAUUUCCUACAUAAUAAGGUGCCAAAGGAACACUCGAACGGCAAAACUGAUCUCAGCUUCUUUCAAACAGAAAAAUAAGCCUAAUGUUUUGGCCCCGCUUCAUCAAACCUUAGACAAAGACAUAAUUCUACAAUUUAUAAUAGUGUUUAGUAAUUUUUAGAGCUCCAUUGACAUCACAUAUCAGACAAUAUAGUCUCCCUUUUACGGAAAAUUAAACAGUACCAUUAUUUGGCAACAGAAGUAUAUUACAGUCAACAGGACAUCCACUGGGGAGGUGGCUUCGUCCCACCCCUGGGCAGGGCUGUGACAGGAGCAAUAUGCCACCAGCACUGUGACCCAUUUGUCACUGCAAACACAAGGGACUCAUGUGAGGAUUGAUACAUUCUUUCCAAACAGGCAACGGCUAACUGGAGUGGGCAGCAGAUGCUGCCGGGCAGGAGACCCAUGUUCUUCUGGCUUCUCUUGUCCCCAAACGUUUCUGGAACAAUGGGGGCCCAGGGGACAGUUGACUGACUGACUUAUUCCCACUCACAGCCCCGUUGCUCCCCCAGCCAGGAGGGCGUGGUGCUGAGAAAGAAGGGUCAGGACCUGGUCUGGGUGGGCGGACCAUCGCUCGUCUGGUUCUGCUGGCUGAUGUGAGAUCGUCUUCCCAGGCUAUGCUCGAACAAGGAGAUUGCUAAACGGCUCCAUCUUUGGGAAUAAAGUCAGUUACAGGCCACACGGACAGUUCCUCAAGGUGAUGUGCAGAUUACUGGUAUGACAACAGAUUCACAGAAGCUUCUGGAAAGCUCCCCGCACCCCUGAAGUCCAGGAAGUCACUCUGACUCUAGUGUUUGCCAAGUUCAGGCCCAUCAAAAAAGGGACUUCAACUGUUGCUGGCAGCGUCAAGAAGCACAAAGCUUGUUGGAAAAAAAAUGUUGAAAACCUAAUGCUCUCACUCCCCACAUGCCUUUCUAGCCAUCAGCCCUCAACUGUCCACAAACGGUGAUCCACAUGCAGGGACCCCAUCUCACUCUUUUCCUCUCUGCACCAUUUCUGGCCUGUUCCGGGAGGCCGGACCCCUGGGGUUGCCACCUCCUGAAAUGACUUCCGAUUGCAUCUCUCAGGGGUUUAGACGUUGAGUUUCAUGGAAUUUUGCAUUCCAUCCUUAGGUGGCCUGCAGGAACACUUCUGGUGGCAAAAUCUGGGCCCCAGAAGAAGCCUGGAUUUCUGAUCCUUUUCUGGGAAGGGGAGCAGGAGAAAGGACUCUUGCCCCUGGGGUCUCCAUCUGGGACACGGGCAUUCAGGAGGCUGCUCUGUUUUGCCUGUUUUGUGUGCCCAGAAACAGCUUAACCCGAAACCCCCAAACUUCAUCCUUCAACCCACAUACCUGUGCAACAGGUGAAGAUGGUGAAGCUGCCCCAGGAAAUUUCAUUGAAAAUGAAAACACCAAAGGGAUAUGCUGAAUCUAUCCAGAAAAAGAACGAUAAAGCUGACCUGGAAGUCAGAGGGUGGCCUCCCUCCCACAUUCAGAACUCUCUAGAGGGAUGGCUGGGUCAACCCUGGAUUCCAGCCCAACCCACCAGAACCCAUGGAAGCUUCUGUGGCACCUGGACCAGAUGAGAAACAGGCUGUCAAUCCUCUCAUCUUUCCUGACACAACCACCCUCCAGGAUAUGUUGCUUGUUUAAACCAGUUUUUAAUGAAACACCAAGGUCUCACCUGAGGUCAUGGCUAGAGGAUACUUUUAUAUUAUCACACUACCACCAUUUCAUUCAAAUUCGUCAUAUUCCCUGCCCCCAAAAUGAUUUCUUUGAAUUUCUAACAUAUGCACUUGGAUUUUCUUUUUAAUGUGAGAAAUUUAGUUGGGUUGAACCCAAGUAAUCUGAUUAAGCAUUUUCUACUCCAGGAAUAGGUUUUUAAAUUUUUUUCUAUAGUUUUAUGCACUUAAAUUAGAUUCCUAAAAUACUCUCAUAUACAUACAGAAAAAUAAUCUCUCAAUGACAAAUCACAUUUUACAAUAACAAGUUAAAUAUUUUUGACUACAGAAUCUGUGUUAGUUUAUGCAACAUUAACAGCAUCGUCUCUUACAUACCAUAUAUACAGUUAGUCACGGACAUUCCCAAAAACAUACAGCAGAGGUUUCAUGACAAACCAUUUAAAGAGCACAACUGUUUCACUUUGUGUAGUGGAAUCCUGCAUUUUUUCAUAGCUGGAAACUGCAUAAAAUGCAGAAACCCAGAAGCUGAGAGCUGAUUAUCAUACAGACGACUUUUUGUUGCAGAUUCCUCAUCUGUAUACAUGUAUUUACACGUCUGGUGACCAGCUAUCGAUGUGAGGAUAUAAAGUGAGCGGAGCUAAGGCAACUCAGCAGGAAUCAGAUGAUUGCCAACUUCUCCAUCUAUGCAGGGCUAUGAGGGGGUAGGGAGAAGGGUCCAGUUAGGGUACAGACUUCAGCUUGCUCUGCUUCAGCAGACAAGAGCUGAAGCUGGUUUCACAGUUCUAAGACACUUGGGCUAUUGGCAAUGUAUGUUUUAAAUGCAUGUGUAAAAAUAAAUAUCAUUACCAAAGAUCUUGCUAGAAUAUCCACCUUCUGACACAGUGACUAUUUAGCAGAUGACAUUUUAAGGAUGUUGAUUUGUAAAAUGGACAUCAAAAUGCUCGUUCAUGAAAACGAAUGCAGACAUGAUAUUAAUUCAAUGCCUCUAGAAAAUACUUUCUAGAAUUUCAGUAGUCUGGAAGAUUGUAUUACACGUAGAAACAAAGGUAUCGUUUGCUAUUUUGCUCAGAGAGAUGCAGUCAAAUUCACUCGAGAUGAAUCUGCAAUUUCUGUUCAACUUUCUGUCGACAUUUUUACUUUAUAAUCCCAGACAGAAUUGGGAAACAUAGAAAGGAUUAUUGCUCUCUGUGUAGAAAUUAGCCUGAUUUGCAAAGAGCAAGCAGAAGUGCAAAAAUUUUGGAGCAUCCAGGCCAGCACAAGGAAAAGCUUGUGGAAGAAAGCAACAAC